rfam:Dyella thiooxydans strain ATSB10, complete genome.
GCCGGUAUAGCUCAGUUGGUAGAGCAACUGAUUUGUAAUCAGUAGGUCGCGGGUUCGAUUCCUGCUGCCGGCA